rnacentral:rRNA from 1 species
AAAUCCCACGGCUCAACCGUGGGGCUUGCUGGGGAUACUGCGGGCCUUGGGACCGGGAGAGGCGGGGGGUACCCCUGGGGUAGGGGUGAAAUCCUAUAAUCCCAGGGGGACCGCCAGUGGCGAAGGCGCCCCGCUGGAACGGGUCCGACGGUGAGGGACGAAGGCCAGGGGAGCGAACCGGAUUAGAUACCCGGGUAGUCCUGACUGUAAAGGAUGCGGGCUAGGUGUCGGGCGAGCUUCGAGCUCGCCCGGUGCCGAAGGGAAGCCGUUAAGCCCGCCGCCUGGGGAGUACGGCCGCAAGGCUGAAACUUAAAGGAAUUGGCGGGGGAGCACUACAAGGGGUGGAGCGUGCGGUUUAAUUGGAUUCAACGCCGGGAACCUCACCGGGGGCGACGGCAGGAUGAAGGCCAGGCUGAAGGUCUUGCCGGACACGCCGAGAGGAGGUGCAUGGCCGCCGUCAGCUCGUACCGUGAGGCGUCCACUUAAGUGUGGUAACGAGCGAGACCCGCGCCCCCAGUUGCCAGUCCUCCCCGCUGGGGAGGAGGCACUCUGGGGGGACCGCCGGCGAUAAGCCGGAGGAAGGAGCGGGCGACGGUAGGUCAGUAUGCCCCGAAACCCCCGGGCUACACGCGCGCUACAAUGGGCGGGACAAUGGGAUCCGACCCCGAAAGGGGAAGGGAAUCCCCUAAACCCGCCCCCAGUUCGGAUCGCGGGCUGCAACUCGCCCGCGUGAAGCUGGAAUCCCUAGUACCCGCGUGUCAUCAUCGCGCGGCGAAUACGUCCCUGCUCCUUGCACACACCGCCCGUCACUCCACCCGAGCGGGGUCUGGGUGAGGCCUGAUCUCCCUUCGGGGAGGUCGGGUCGAGCCUGGGCUCCGUGAGGGGGGAGAAGUCGUAACAAGGUAGCCGUAGGGGAACCUACGGCUCGAUCACCUCCU